ACUCCUACGGGAGGCAGCAGUGGGGAAUAUUGCACAAUGGGCGUAAGCCUGAUGCAGCAACGCCGCGUGAGGGACGACGGCCUUCGGGUUGUAAACCUCUUUUAGUAGGGAAGAAGCGAAAGUGACGGUACCUGCAGAAAAAGCACCGGCUAACUACGUGCCAGCAGCCGCGGUAAUACGUAGGGUGCAAGCGUUAUCCGGAAUUAUUGGGCGUAAAGAGCUCGUAGGCGGUUUGUCGCGUCUGCUGUGAAAACUGGAGGCUCAACCUCCAGCCUGCAGUGGGUACGGGCAGACUAGAGUGCGGUAGGGGAGAUUGGAAUUCCUGGUGUAGCGGUGGAAUGCGCAGAUAUCAGGAGGAACACCGAUGGCGAAGGCAGAUCUCUGGGCCGUAACUGACGCUGAGGAGCGAAAGCAUGGGGAGCGAACAGGAUUAGAUACCCUGGUAGUCCAUGCCGUAAACGUUGGGAACUAGAUGUAGGGUCCAUUCCACGGAUUCUGUGUCGCAGCUAACGCAUUAAGUUCCCCGCCUGGGGAGUACGGCCGCAAGGCUAAAACUCAAAGGAAUUGACGGGGGCCCGCACAAGCGGCGGAGCAUGCGGAUUAAUUCGAUGCAACGCGAAGAACCUUACCAAGGCUUGACAUAUACCGGAAAAGUUCAGAAAUGUUCUCCCCGCAAGGUCGGUAUACAGGUGGUGCAUGGUUGUCGUCAGCUCGUGUCGUGAGAUGUUGGGUUAAGUCCCGCAACGAGCGCAACCCUCGUUCUAUGUUGCCAGCACGUAAUGGUGGGAACUCAUAGGAGACUGCCGGGGUCAACUCGGA
rnacentral:rRNA from 1 species